CAGUGAUCAGCACAGGAAAUUCACUGUAUUCCCCGUUUUGUGCCACAGGGGAAGGACCUUGUCCUCUCUAAGAGGAGGACAGAUACAGCAAUGGGGUUGACUCGAUGCCAAAUGACCGACAUGCUUUAAGCAGAGAUGAACGAGUACUCGUGACACCUGAAACAAGGAAAGAAACCCACACAAGAUCCCAGCAAGGAAGCUGCUGUGUUACACAGGAAACUCCAGCCCAGAAGCAGGUCAUCUAUGAAUGGUUUAACCCCAGGUUCCCCGCCAGUGUGCGUUGUGUGACAGACAAUGCAUGCCUUCUGUCUUGCACAUGGAGGACUGGCCACCACCCUUACCUGAUUCACCUCUUGCCUCAGGCCAUCAGUUUCCUAUCUCUGGCUGAGACAGUCUCAAAGGCCCUUCCAAAGCUGACAUUGC